CAUAUCUUUAAAGUGUGAUGCUAUGGAUCAGGUGGUGGCGACCGGGGCAAGAUGUGGUGAAUGUGUUUCUGUUAAACCAAAGUCAGUAAUUCGCGCAAAUGGAAGUAAUCAAGGUGGUGUUAAAAAUUUAACUUGGAUUAUCGUCGGUGUAAGUGUAGUAGGCGGACUUCUUAUCUUAAUUGUACUGGUGGUGAUUGCAGUUCACAUGAUAAAAAAGCGUAAGAAGAAUAAAACCAAUAGAGAUCCCAACAGAAACAACCAAACCACACACCCAAACCCAUAUGAGGACCCACCGGAUAUCACUUCAUUUCCGAUGACUUCCAAACUUAACAACACUGACAGUCAAUCUGAGAAAGAACCCAAAGCUAAUAGUGAUACUGACGACAAAAUCCUUUCUGAAUCAGAAAAAAAGAAAAGAGAACACAACCAAGGAUACACCCAGGUGAAUAAGACGUUUCGGAUGUAUCCUGAAUUACCAGAACAAAGUCCGCAGCAUGAUUCAGAGAAGAUCAAUAAUAAGAGUACCUCCAGGGAUUCCAUUGUGGAUCCAACUUAUAAUCAUCUUGGUGAAGCGAGAAAACCAGAGAACAGUGGAUCCUCUACCUAUGACCACAUUUAAUAACCGAUAUUUGCACACUUUAUUUAUUCAUUUUAUUAAAGAUGCAUUAUGUAGACUGUUUAAUAUCGCAGCAACGGUACUUGCCAAACGGCACUAAUUUGCGAUUAUCCAUUUUAUCGUUAUUUUUUUCUUUAAUCUCGCGAACGUUCUUAUCAUUUUAAAUCUCUGCCUACAGGUGUUCUAACAAAGUUGAUAAUAGGCUUGUCAUGUUAAUAAUAAAUGUCUAAAUAAGAUUGGAAGCCAAAAUAAAGAUAUGCAAUAGGCAGAUUUAGCUCUUAUAUAAUGCAUAUCUGCGGAUACUUAUACUGUUAGGCUUUUUUAGAUUUAUAAUUGCUAAUCGUUUUAUUUGAUAGCCUGUCGGUGUUUUGAAACACACAUGUAAAAUGAUCUUAUAUAUCUAUAUUGUAGAUGAACAAGAACCCAUAGUACAAAGUUUUGUAUAUCGCAUUAUUGAGUUUAUAGUCCAAAGAUAUAUUUUUAUAUUGCAUUAUAAAGUUCUUUAAAUCUACAAUACAAAAUAAUAGUCAUGUUUGUGACAUUGAUUACAAUAAUUAAUACGUCUCCUACUGAGUGUGUUAACAUUAUCAGCCCAUACUAAUAUUAAUACAAAGUUAUUUUCGUAUAUUGCAUUGAAAUCUUAAACAAUGUUCUAUAUAACAUAUGUUUCCCUGCUUUCAAAACUUGAACAGUAAAUGGGUUGUGAUGACUGAAAUUUAAAACCCUCCAAUCGUUUUUACUUCCCGAUUUAACAAAACAUUGUAGCCUAUUUCUUUACCUUUGUCGUUUGAUCUGCAAUCUUAAACCAAACAAAAGAUGUCUUGUAAAAUACGGGACAACUAUUUCUGGGGUGAUUUAACUUAACGUCCUAUUAAUUUAAAAUCUUGAGUAUAUUUUAGUAAUGUCAUAUUCUAUCACUAGCUUGCAUUACAAAAUUAUUUAUUGUAUUAUUCAGUCGCGCAUAAUACAUGCUUACCCUUUUAAUAUGUCUAAUAAUACCAAUCGGGUUAGGUUAUAUCAAUGUAUACAUGUACACUAUAUCUGAAUAAUUCAUAUUUACAUUAUACCUGAAUAAUAAAUUUUUACACUAUACAUGUUCUUUAAGAGACGGACAUACGCCAUGUUGCGGUGGGAGGGAGGGGGGUGUUCCCAGACAUCAAAUUCCGACUGCGCAGGGUUGUUUUACGUGCACGCCAGCGUGUUCGUGGGACCUCGGUUCUUCAUUCCACCCGAACUAGACGCUGUUCCUUGUUAAGCCAUCUGUCUAGCACCACUUACUGGAGGAAACUACACCGGAAAAUUUCAAUGACCCUUCUCGGCCCCGACCAACACCGGAGUCACACACACGUCAUACUCAAAGACCCGCUGGGGCUCCCUUUUUAUAUCAUAUGAGACACAUCAGAGAUGCAGAAUAAUUGUUGCAUUAUAGUUAAUGUUCAUUUAUUAUUUCACUAUCGACACUUUAAUAUUUUAAGAAUUCCACGAUUACAGUAUUGUUAUUUCUUUAUUGUUGCAUAAUCCUAUUUUACUAAUUGAGUAAUUAUUAUUUUUAUCAUUGUUUAAUUUUUAAUACUAUAAUAUUAAAUAUUUAUUUAUAGUUUUUAUCAUUAUUAUUGAAUAAUAACUAUUUACAUAACCGCUUGAGAUAUUAAAGAUAGUAUA